rnacentral:lncRNA from 1 species
UUCUUUUUGAAAAUUUGGGGGUAAAAUGACAUAAACAUCCUUCUAUACAUAUAAAUAAAAAAUGUAUGUUAAAUUUGAUAUAAUUAUAAAUAAUUCAAAUUCAAAGGACCAAAAUAGCAAUUUUUAAAAUCUUAAAUCCUAAUCAUCAUCGUUCUCCCUAUCACCCUCUCAAGUUGGGAAAAAAAAAAUCCAGCACCUAAUUCUCUUCUUCCCCAAAAUUUCUGGAACUCAAAACAGCAAAGGCAACAACCACGGUCACUACCGCCGCCGGAGCCGCCCCUAAUUCUCUCAAAUCCUGUAGCUAUGUCGAAACCGGCAACCUCACGAAACAGUGGAGGAGAAGAGCAAGGUAUCUGAUGCCUCCAGAUCCAAACCUCCCAUUGUUUUUCUGUUUUUUAUCGUCUUCUCCGACGAUGGUUUUAGAGGUUGCGAAAGAAGAAAAGGCUGGUGUGGAACUGGUCGACGGCGCCGCCGCAGAGGAGGCAGGGGGCUGUGCAAUCCAGCUUGUGCGUAGUGUGUGUGGAAAAUUACAAUUCAGUCACCUAAUUAAGUUUCAUAAAUUUAGUAAAAUUACAAUUUGGCCUCUAUUAUAUAUUAAUUCUAAUUUUAUGUUAUUAACAAGGG